rnacentral:sRNA from 1 species
UUUUUGCAAAAAGAAGAGAUUAUUGAGAUGCUCACACUUGCUAUAUUUUCAUUAGAUAUUAAGAUUUUGGAGAUUUUAUUUCUAUCUUAUUUAUUUACAAUCAAUUAUUACAUACCAAACAAUUUUUUUUUAAAA